UACGUAGGGCGCAAGCGUUGUCCGGAAUUAUUGGGCGUAAAGAGCUCGUAGGCGGUUUGGUAAGUCGGGUGUGAAAUCUCCACGCUCAACGUGGAGGGGCCACUCGAUACUGCCAUGACUCGAGUCCGGUAGAGGAGUGUGGAAUUCCCGGUGUAGCGGUGAAAUGCGCAGAUAUCGGGAGGAACACCCGUAGCGAAGGCGGCACGCUGGGCCGGAACUGACGCUGAGGAGCGAAAGCGUGGGGAGCAAACAGG
rnacentral:rRNA from 1 species